CGCGCGACAGCAUCGCUACUAUAUCGCUACAAAAAGUCGCCGUGGGCGAGGGCUCUUAUAGGUAGAGAGUUAAAA